ensembl:lincRNA Gm13839 predicted gene 13839
AAUGAGCAUGGCGAGAUGAAAGAAUGGGAAAGAUUUUAUUAUUUCAAGUCUUGUUUGUUUCGUCAUGUUGAAAGGGGCUACCGAAGCUGCUGGAGGAGGAGGGUCCUCGAUGGACGCACCCAGCGCUGGACCACGCAUGCUAUGAACUUGCCAGGCAAGUGCAAGCUGUUAUAGAAGAGUGAGUGCCACUAUCGUAUCUUGCCACCCUAGCUUCCUGUCUGGCCACAUAGCCUCUCCCUCUUGCCAUCUUCUAGCCGUUUUCGUCCACCACGAUGCUGUAUAGCCACAGAGGACCCUCACCUGAGAGGACACAAUUCUGUUUGGACUUUCUGCUUCCAACACUGCAAGCUCAACACACCUCUUUCCUUGAUCAAGUACCCAUCCAUGGGUCUUUUGUUUUAGCAACAGAAAAUGAACCCUUAUUACUACUGGUGCUAUUGCUUGUGGGGUAUAUGUGGGGCCUAUUUAUUGCGAGUAUUUUCCCUGGGUCUUCGGGAGUCUAAUGU